rnacentral:lncRNA from 1 species
GCGCAAAACCAAAAUUGAGUGGGUCAGUAAAACAAUUCUUUUCCAAAUCCAAACAUUUCUCAAAACGUUGUAACCCCUCUCCGUAAAACCUGUAUACUUUCCCAGAAAUAUAAAAUAUAAAUAUACAUAUAUAUAUUCUCAAUACUUCAAUUCAUUAACUCAACAUUUUCAUCAUAAUUAUGCCAUGCCACAUCAUCUCAACAUUUCUCAUAUUAAUUAUGCCAUGCCACAUCAUCUCAACAGUAAUAAGGUAUGAAUGCAUCAACAUAAAUCAUAUCAGGUGCAAUAAAGUAAUCAACCGGAGGCCCUCUAAUAGCCCUGUACGGUUGAACCUAGAGCUCAAAAUCUAUCACUCUCACACUCUGCCGGAGUCACUCCGCGUGACCUGUACGGCCUUCUGCACAUAAGUUACGCUCUAGUGCUUCUCAUAAAUCAUCUGUGCACAUAAUCUAAGGUUACCCACCAGUCGGAAUCUCACUAACACUCUCGCGACUGGCCUGUCGUACCCACUCCGCGUGGACUGUACGACUAGCAUCUACUUGGAUCCAAGGCGAGCGUGCGAUGCGGUGAAUACUAUAAGCACUAAACUAUGGUGCAGGAUUUGAGCUCAAUAUACAUCAACAUCAUCAUAACAGAAAUAACUACUCACCUGUGCGUCCAUCGCACCAUUUCAUACAUAUGCAUCAUAUCAAUUCUUACCUGUGCGUCCACCGCACCAAUUCAUACAUAUGCAUCAUAAAUCAAUUCUUACAUGUGCGUCCACCGCACCAAUUCAUACAUAUGCAUCAUAUAUUAAUUCAUGCAUGGCAUUUCAACUCACAUUUCUAUAUACUUUUCAUAUCAAUUCUAUGCAUGGUAUUUCACUUCCCGUUUUUCCACAUAACUCAUAUGCAUUUCAUUUUAAACAUAUUUUCAUUUCAAUUCAAUUUCUGGGAAACGUCAAGUAUAUAUAUAUACGGAAAACAAAACUGCCCACUCACCUGGAGUUCAUCCAACAACUCCCUAGCACCACACAUCAAGGCGUCACGACGAUCGCCGCCUAGAAUAGUAAUCAAAUCCAACCUCAGAAUUCAUAUCGAUAGAAUAUAUAACUUAUAUAAAAUACGUCCCUACGUAGAUC